rnacentral:rRNA from 1 species
CGAACGCUGGCGGCAGGCUUAACACAUGCAAGUCGACCGGGCAUCUUCGGAUGUCAGUGGCAGACGGGUGCGUAACACGUGGGAACGUACCCUUCGGUUCGGAAUAACUCAGGGAAACUUGAGCUAAUACCGGAUACGCCCUUUUGGGGAAAGGUUUACUGCCGAAGGAUCGGCCCGCGUCUGAUUAGCUUGUUGGUGGGGUAACGGCCUACCAAGGCGACGAUCAGUAGCUGGUCUGAGAGGAUGAUCAGCCACACUGGGACUGAGACACGGCCCAGACUCCUACGGGAGGCAGCAGUGGGGAAUAUUGGACAAUGGGCGCAAGCCUGAUCCAGCCAUGCCGCGUGAGUGAUGAAGGCCUUAGGGUUGUAAAGCUCUUUUGUCCGGGACGAUAAUGACGGUACCGGAAGAAUAAGCCCCGGCUAACUUCGUG